AUAACUCAGGGAUAGCCUUUCGAAAGAAAGAUUAAUACCUGAUAGUACUUUUUCAAGGCAUCUUAGAAAAAGUUAAAGAUUUAUUGGUUAUGAAUGGGGAUGCGUUCCAUUAGAUAGUUGGUGAGGUAACGGCUCACCAAAGUCUUCGAUGGAUAGGGGGUUCUGAGAGGAAGGUCCCCCACAUUGGUACUGAGACACGGACCAAACUCCUACGGGAGGCAGCAGUGAGGAAUAUUGGUCAAUGGGCGAGAGCCUGAACCAGCCAAGUAGCGUGAAGGAUGAAGGUCCUAUGGAUUGUAAACUUCUUUUAUAGUAGAAUAAAGUGAGCCACGUGUGGUUUUUUGUAUGUUAUACUAUGAAUAAGGAUCGGCUAACUCCGUGCCAGCAGCAGC
rnacentral:rRNA from 1 species